rnacentral:tRNA from 1 species
AAAUAUGAAUCAUUUAAAAUGAUGAAUUUAAUUUCGACCUAAAGUAAGAAUAUGUAGUAAAUAUUCCAUAUUUA